CCAUCUCUAUCUUUCAAGUUGUAGUAUCCUGCGGUAAGCUCCGCGGCGUGAUUAUCAACUUCAUACCACCAGUGGAUUCCAGAUACCUGUAAUCAAGCAGAUUCUCGGAUUAACAUUGGGCGAAAGAUCGUAGGUACUGCUAAUAACAGUUUUUUAUGACAUUAGAAUAUUUACUUUGGCUGCUAGCUUUAAUUUACAGCCCACAAAAACUUUGUUGGCUUCAUCCAGGAUCUGAUCACCAUGGAUCAUUAAUUUGUUAGAGUACCAAGUCAAGAAGAACUUCCCUUUCUCAGUAACAUAUGUCCCAUUUGAUCUGAAGAACUCCGAGGAUUCAGGAGUGUCAUUAUAUUCUCCGGCGUUAUCUGGCAAAGCCCACU
rnacentral:lncRNA from 1 species